GAAAACUGUAACAUCCUGGUUGUUGGAUAGUGGCAGAGACUGUUGUAUCAAACGUGGUGGAAUCAGAGAAUGAGAGGCCUCUAGUGGCCGAAAGGCCAUAUUAGCAUGGGCAGCGCCAUUGAGGGCUUCCACCAUUUUAAUGUAGUCAACUGUCGUGGUUGUUCCAUGUCAUGUCCAACUGGGUCAUCAGGAGUGAUCAGCCAAUCGUGAAGAAGAAAAUUUAGUAAUUCAAAAUGGAAUUUGCCUCAAUAGUCCUUUUGCACAACGUAGCAACGCCCACUUCUGUUCAACUUCUUACCCGAUACAUAGCUUCCUCUCCCGAUUGCAUCCUGUCAUGAUGAUUGUAGCCAUUCUAGCCUCGAAUUCACUCGUUUUAUCAUUAUCUCAGUAUAUUAAUAUAAUCAUAUUAAUAUAAUCAUAUUUCUAUAGCGUUUUUUUAUCGUUCUUGUUGAAAAUUGUUUAUCCGUUCAGUUAGUGAUUCGAUUUUUGUGUUCUGUGUCUUUUUUUGUCUCUUUAGCUAGCAAACGUUAGCUACCAGUAGCUAGCUAAUGUUAGUGCUAACGUUAACAUUAUUAGUUGGUGCAGCAUCUUUAUUGAAAGUUAGGAAGUGAAGAAGAGCAACAUCAAGGUUGAGGCGAGAGGUCAUCUUCAUGGAAUAUUGCUCUGUUCCGUUGUGUACCUCCUCAGCGAAAUACUCCUCGUUGAGUUUUCACUCAUUUCCAAGUGAUACUGAGCUAAGAGUAAAAUGGGUCAUCAAUAUUCGCAGGGAAAAGUUCCCCAUCACAAGUCACUCCCAAGAUUUGUGGUAGACACUUUUUACCACAUGAUUUCAUUGAACCAUGUGUGCUUCGACAUCUGAAGAAGGGAGCAGUACCUUUGCUAUUCCAGUGGAAUAACUAAGCAAGAGCAAGUGUUUGGGAAAGAAGGGAGACCAAGGACUGGAUGUGUAGAGGACAACCAUGUUGAAGAUGGAAAGGAUGAAAAGAUGGAUUGCUAACAUGACCAUGACUACUGUGCAGUGGCUGGGCCCGAUGUAGUUGACCUGGUUUUGAUUGAGAGGGAAGAGAUGCAGAGAGCGAUUGAGGACCUAUUGAACAAAGUAGAGGAGUUGACUGUGAGAAGUUAUUUUGGGCUGCAGCGAUUUGUGGGAUCAGAGGCACAGAUCCAGUCCUUCACAAGAUAAAGAGAGCUAUGAAAGCCAGUCUACAUAUGAAGAGGUCCCAAUGAAGAGCAGUGGUUCUCAGUCCUGGUCCUGGGGACUCAAAGGGAUACCUUGUAAUUGGAGAUUCCUUCAAAACCAUUGCCUACAGUUAGCGUGUAGGGCACUGCAAGGUUGGGUGAUCAGGGCCAUCUGGGACUGCCUCCUGGAGGAAUUCAGGUGUGUGAAGGCUACCUGUGUCCUGCAUAACUUCAUGAAGAUGGACACGAGGACCAGGAGUGGAUCUGCAGCUUGCCGCCGUGUGCCAGAGGAGAAGUCUGGUGCUCUGCAGGAUGUUUCAAGGUUGGGGUCCAGCAACGCAGCAAGAGAGGCAAUCCGUGUGCUGGAGCUCGUCACCUCCUACUUCUUCGAAGAGGGUGCUGUUCCCUGGCAACACCAUAGACUACAUUAUGCACAACCAAAGGCUAUUUUAAGAGCCAUCCACAUUGCAAUAAGAGUAUUCUUCCAUUUACUGAGCUAUGUCAACUGCAGUUAUUCAAUUCCCAGUUUCUCUCCCUUUGAUUUCUACUUCUCAGGUGAGGGUGCUGUUUAGAUAAGGGUGUGAUGUCUGUAGAAAAACAAAACAGGCUAUUUAAAUCACCCAUAUUGAAAAAAUGUAGAACAAUUAGACACCCUGUAACCCACACCUACACACUCAUAAGCAGGCUCAGGUGUAUAAAAAAAAGCAUAAAGUACUCUGCAGCUACUUAGUGGACACCAGGUUAUAUCAGCUGUGUUGGUGAACCCCUCCCUCAUCUGAACUGGCUACAUAGAGGGCACAGCAUGAUCAGAGAUGUGUUUUGUUGUGAGAGAGGAUGCCAACCCCCAGUCCCAUCAUCGCAACCUCACCCGCUUUUAAGAUAACCUUCAGGCUGACUAGAGACACUUAUGUAAUUGUGAUGAACUGAGAGAAUAUUUGUGUAGCACUGAUUCAUUAUUCAUAUCCCUGCUCCUAUGUUCUUACCUCUUUCCCUUUCUGUCUUUUACACCUCUCUCGCCACCUCCUCUUUCUUCCUCUGUUUUUAUAAUUCACAACAGAUGUGCAUUGAAGUACAGAUUGAACUUGUAUUUAUAAUAUUACAAUUAUAAUAUUAAUGCAUGUAUUUAUAACACUUGGAUAAUGAACUUCUUUCAAUAAAGUGUUUCACAUUCUCUACU
rnacentral:lncRNA from 1 species